UGUCUCCUCCACCUUCUCAAAUGGUGGAUUCGCCCCGUAAUCUCACGAUUGCGGGGCUUUUUUC
rnacentral:ncRNA from 1 species